rnacentral:rRNA from 1 species
UACGGGGGGGGCAAGCGUUGUUCGGAAUUACUGGGCGUAAAGGGCUCGUAGGCGGCCAACUAAGUCGGAUGUGAAAUCCCCAGGCUUAACCUGGGAACUGCAUCCGAUACUGGAUGGCUUGAAUCCGGGAGAGGGAUGCAGAAUUCCAGGUGUAGCGGUGAAAUGCGUAGAUAUCUGGAGGAAUACCGGUGGUGAAGGCGGCAUCCUGGACCGGCAUUGACGCUGAUGAGCGAAAGCUAGGGGAGCAAACGGG